rnacentral:lncRNA from 1 species
AGAUCUGAUCCAAUGUCGAUUCAACCUCUCGACGAAGCCGCCUCUUUGCCGAUUCAACGUCGUCGGAGCUUCGUCGCACCUCUCCCGCCGACUCUCUCACCUAAGACUCGCGUUUUUUGAGCGAUUGCCGACCUACAGGAGAUUUCGGAGGAGUUGGACCGCGGCGAUGCCUCGACUCCUCUCCGGAUACCACAGCUCAGCAAGCCGACGCCUUAACUCUAGAAACCGCACCGACACCUCGACUCCAGUGCAAGGCGACGGGCGAAGAUUUAUGUUCUCUGAUCUGCUCUCGGUUACCAUCCAGCGAAGCCAGCCACUACGUCUCUAGAAGCCGCAUGAAGUCACCAGAGACUCUUGCUGGAGGUCGUUGGAGACGUUGCUACAGAGGAGGUCGUUAGAGGCUAGAGUAGGUUUUGGUGGAGGUGAGAGUUGGUUUCGGUGGACGUGUGUAGUUUUUGAUAUGUUUGGUAGUAGGUUUUGGUGGAGGUGAGAGUAAGUUUUGGUGGUGGUGAGAGUAGGUUUCGGUGGAGGUGAGUGUAGUUUUUGAUGUGUUUGGUAGUAGGUUUUUGGUGGUGGUGAGAGUAGGUUUUGGUGCUUGGUAUCGAUAGUAGCUUUUGUAGCUACAAGUAGUAGCUUUUGUUUUUGGUAGUAGUAACUUUUUUGUUUGAGGUAAUAGAUUUUGUUGUUGCCAGUAGUAGAUUUUGUUGUUGGCAGUAGUAGCGUUUGUUGGUGACGAUAGUAUCUUUUGUUAAUAACGGUAGUAUCUUUUCUUGCUGGCAGUACAUAGUAGCUUUUGUUGUUUUCUGUUGUAACUUUUGCAGUUAGGGAUAUUAGCUUUUGUUGCUGGCGAUAGUAGCUUUUCUUACAAGGGAUAGUAGCUUUUCUUGCUGGCGGUAGUAGCUUUUGUAGUCGGUGGUAGUAGCUUUUCUAGCUGGCGGAAGUAGCUUUUCUUGCUUGCGGAAGUAGCUUUUCUUGCUUGCGGUAAUAGCUUUUCUUGCUAGCGGUAGUAGCUUUUGUAGUCGGUGGUAGUAGCUUUUCUAGGCGGUGGUAGUAGCUUUUCUAGCUGGUGGAAGUAGCUUUUCUUGUUGGCGGUAGUAGCUUGUGUAGUCAGUGGUAAUAGCUUUUCUAGCUAGGGAUAAUAGCUUUUCUUGUUUGCAGUAGUAGUUUCUCUUGCUGACGGUAGUAGCUUUUCUUGUUGCCGGUAGUAGGUUUCGUAAUCGUCAGAAGUCGGCUGGAGACAUCGCCGGAGUUCGUCGGAGAUCUGCCAGAGACUUUUCUGGGGAGGAGAGUGGUUGUUGACUUUUUACAAUAGUGAUAUUUUUGUAAAUAUAAGAGAGAAAAUCUAAUUUUUUUAGUUGGAUGGCAGUCUGUAAUUUAGUUGAACUUCAAUACUUUUAUUUAGGCUUGGGUGGACUUAUGUGUGUAAAAAUGUUUGGGUGGACCUCUAUAGGAUAAAAUGUCUUAAAGUGGACUUCUAUAUAAUUGGCCCAAAACUAAAUUGUAAAGAAUAGCCCUACACACUCAGACUUAUCUCGCAACCCUUCAAGUCUCUCUAAACUCAAACAUCGCCGCUACAACUUUUAGCCACGUACCAUGGGCAGUAAAGAGGUGAAAUGGAUCGAGUUGGAUAUCGUCUCUAAUCGACUCUAAGUUGGCCAUAGCCACAACUCUUCUCCAUUGAUCUAACUCUCACCUUCUUUAAGCUCAACCUUUCACACCUCGACGCUGACAACUUUGUAUUAGUGGCCGAACACGAAGAACACAAACGCAAGUAGAGGUUAGAGAAGUCAAGAAACAGCCAAGGAGAUCGCUAGAUUUUAGGAAUUUGUACAUUUAGUAACUGCUAAGCUAAGAUUAUAGAGGUUAGAGGUUGAAGGUGGCUGAUGACAAAUAUACCUAUGCUUGAGACUUUAUAAGUUCAAAUUUUGUCUAAGCUUCAGCUCUGCAAGCUUCUAUAUACAUCCGUCCUUGACGGCUGUUUGACUCAUCUAUUAUACUUUGUCAUUUUUCUAAUGUGAUUUUCCUCUCCAAUAUAAUAAACUGUACCAGAACAAAAUAUAUAACAUCACCGGUGGUCCGGUGCCACACCCUGAAUUGUGAUUAUUAGUUACUAGAACCAGUCAUGACGUUAAAACUUAAAAGGUACUUUACCUUCAACUAAUAUUUAUAUAACCUUCAACUAAUAUUUAUAUAAAGUUGGUUCCAAAUCCUUGUGAUUUCGCUACAUCUCAAUGGAGUUUCCAGCAGGGCAAAUUAUGAGGACUUGGUUUCGUGACGAC